rnacentral:lncRNA from 1 species
ACAAUUUCUUCCUCUCUCUCUCUCACCGUCGGCCAUAAUUUCUUGCUUCUUUCAACCAAUAAUUUUCAGCAACCAAAGUUGCUCAUAUUGACUUCAAAAUCAGCAGCUAAGCUGCUCUAUUUCUCCUUAAAAAUCAGCAGCUUAACAGCAUUAUUCUCCCUCAAAAAUCAGCAGCCAAAGCCACAAAAAUUAACAACCAAACCGUACCUUUCAACCUUCAAAAUCAACAACUAAAACCAUACUGUUCAGCCUUCAAAAUCAACAGCAAAAAUUGCACUUUUCAACCUUCAAAAUCAGUAGCAAAAGCUGCUCCUCUCACCCUUUAAAUUGACAAAAAAAUAGCUCUAUUUUCCUCCCUAAAUGGCAACAAAACCGCCCCCCUCAACUCAGCUCUUCCACCUUUCUUUUCUUCCUCACCUCUUGGCCUUCUCUUAUUUCUUUUUGCUCUUUUU